UACGUAGGGUGCGAGCGUUGUCCGGAAUUAUUGGGCGUAAAGAGCUCGUAGGCGGUGUGUCACGUCGUUCGUGAAAACCUGCAGCUUAACUGUGGGCGUGCGGUCGAUACGGGCAUCACUGGAGUUCGGCAGGGGAGACUGGAAUCCUGGUGUAGCGGUGAAAUGCGCAGAUAUCAGGAGGAACACCGGUGGCGAAGGCGGGUCUCUGGGCCGGAUACUGACGCUGGAGGAGCGAAAGCCGUGGGGAGCAAACAGG
rnacentral:rRNA from 1 species